GCAUCAGCCAUGCUGGCCUGGUGCUGAUGUAUUCCAUCGUGGGGGAAGCCGGCCAGCUGCUAGAGGACGAGGGGGAAAUUACAAACAAAAUCAUGGGACAGCUAUUUAAUAUCAGGCUCAUGGGCAAGCUGCCCGACGCCCUGAAGGAGCUGUGCUCCGUGGGGCAGGAUUGAAGGCCCCCCCCCCUCGCAUGACCAGCUCGGACCCCCUGCCGCAGCCUUGCUCCAGGCCCUCCACCCACCCGCUGCACAGCAUUGCCUCCUCCUCCUCCUGAUCUUCCCCAACACCUUCAGUUUCAACUACAUGGCUUCGACCUCUGCAUGGAUAUGGACAUUGGUUCAUACUUCUGCCCACCCGGCUUCGACCUCCGGCCUGGACAUUGACACUGGCUCCGGUUCUGCCUGCACAUACUCAACACCUGGCAGCAGUAGACAGGCCCCAUGUAGUGAGGCGGCCUGGCUCCCAGGCGCACCUGAGAGGGAUAAGCCAGAUCAGCUGC